GGGCGGGUGAUGGAAUUGGUAUACAUGCAGAACUUAAAAUUCUGUGCCCGAAAGGCAUGCGGGUUCGAGCCCCGCCCCGCCCACCA
rnacentral:tRNA from 1 species